ACGGUGCUGAAGCAACAAAUGCCCUGCUUCCAGGAAAAGCCUCUAAGCAUCAGGUAACAUCAAAUCGUACCCCAAACCGACACAGGUGGUCAGGUAGAGAAUACCAAGGCGCUUGAGAGAACUCGGGUGAAGGAACUAGGCAAAAUGGUGCCGUAACUUCGGGAGAAGGCACGCUGAUAUGUAGGUGAAGUCCCUCGCGGAUGGAGCUGAAAUCAGUCGAAGAUACCAGCUGGCUGCAACUGUUUAUUAAAAACACAGCACUGUGCAAACACGAAAGUGGACGUAUACGGUGUGACGCCUGCCCG
rnacentral:rRNA from 1 species